AUUGAGCCCCUGCAGCAAACUUUCUCUGCAGAUGACAGAUGCAAAAACGUCACGACUGACACGUCGCCGAACUGUCAAAGCAUAACGCAAUGUUUACUUUUCAUUCAUCAGUUCGGUCGACGGUGCAGUUUUCGUGGACAGUUUUGGUCGUUUUUCUGGCCAGAUUUCGUCAUGUAAUGACGGUAUGUUUGGCCCAUUGAAGGACAAACUUUGGUGGCGUUUUGCUGCCAGUGCGUCAUCUUCGCGAGGAAGAUGAGCCUGCAGAAACCCACUAAAUUCCCGGGAUGAACCGUGAGAGCCAUCUUGACUAAGCAAGAUGUACUUCAGGUUUGGCACUACUGGCCGUGAUUUUUGUGGCACAGUCCCCUCACUGUCACUCCACAUCCGGCGCUCGGACACAAGGGCACAACGGAUUACUCCUUGGUCGUCUUAUCGGAUGCCAGUGCAGCUAUGAACCGCCAGUAUAAACAUAACAGGUUCGCCAUUCCAUCACUUCGUUCUCGCCGUAAUCAUCCGGGUCUUCGGGUUGAUUCGAUCGUGAGCUCCGAAGGUAUAUGAACCCUUCACCAGCUCCCGUGGACUGCCAACCCUCGGUCGAAUUUCUUACGUUCAUCCGAAGUGUGGAAUGUAAACUAAAGUUAGAAUAUUCGC